rnacentral:misc_RNA from 1 species
GAUGAAGAACGCAGCGAAAUGCGAUAAGAAAUGUGAAUUGCAGAAUUCAGUGAAUCAUCGAAUCUUUGAACGCACAUUGCGCCCGCCAGCAUUCUGGCGGGCAUGCCUGUUCGAGCGUCAUUUCAACCCUCGAGCCCCCCCGGGGGCCUCGGUGUUGGGGGACGGCACACCAGCCGCCCCCGAAAUGCAGUGGCGACCCCGCCGCAGCCUCCCCUGCGUAGUAGCACACACCUCGCACCGGAGCGCGGAGGCGGUCACGCCGUAAAACGCCCAACUUUCUUAGAGUUGACCUCGGAUCAGGUAGGAAUACCCGCUGAACUUAAGCAUAUCAAUAAGCGGAGGA